GUUGUCGCCAAGGGCCAGAGCGGGAGCCCUCCGGAAGGAGCAGGACGGGCGCGGGGGAGGUGGGGCAGCGGGUCCAGAGCCCCUGCUGGUGGGCUAGGCCGCGGUCUGCGCGGUGGGCUCUGCGGAAAUCCAGAAUGACCUGGACGAAAAGCGUGACCUGCGGGACGGUGAGGAAGCCGGUGCUGCUUGCCCGACGAGGCGCUGACUCGGACUUCAUCAGAGUCUUCGCUUUGGUGCAGGAAGACGGAACAGCAGGGAGAGACCCGCAGGCCGCUGUCCAGCUGUAGAGAGACUCGAGACCUGCUGGCCGCGUUCUGAAAACGCAACACCACGUCCCUCCGGGGCCGACCGGGAGGUACGAAUCACAGUUGAUUACUGUCGCUCCUUGUUAACCACAUUUAAUAACAACACGUUAUUUCAAAGCUACGAAAUAGAAAAUUUAAAAUAUGCUCGCUGUCAAAAAGAUGCGAAGUGAUGGACAUGUUAAUUAGCUUAAUAUAAUUAUUCCAUGAUGUGCACAAAUCCCAACAUCACAUUGGUGCCCACAAAAUAUAUGACUCUUACAUUCAAUUAAAAAUUUAAAUUUACAUGAUCUCUUAGAAAAAAAAAUCCCCCAAAGCAUCAAUGAGAAGUCCCUGCCCUGGCCGGCUGAAAGUGCUGGGUCUUGCGGUCAUUUCAAGGCGGUGCCCCAACGGCCCCUGCAGGGGCAUUUUCUGCUGGGCGCCCCUCACCACCAGGGGGCGUGUUCUGUCAUUUUCAGUUCCCCUGGUCGGAAGGUGUUUUGGAUGUAGAUACUUCCAGGACCCUUUCAUGGGGCAAAGAGAAGGGCCAUAUUUUAGUGUAUUCUGCAGACCCCUUAGCAGAGUCUGCUCAUGGGGGCUAUUGUCCCUAUUGUCACCUGGCAGCUGGAGUCCUGUGGGCGCCCCACACGCAGAUGGCCUUUAUGGCUCAGUGCUCCUGCCAUUGUGGUUCCAGAACCAGUAGGAACAUUGACUGCGGAGACUCACAGUCAGCCCAGCACCACACAGCCAGGACCCCAGUUCCAGCUCAGGCUCCCAGUGCAAUGGGCUGCCCAAAGGGAGGCUCCCUCUAUGGGGGGGGAGAGGACAGAAGAGCUGGCCUCUGAGCCUCACUAGGAAGGAUGACCAGGAGAUGGGGAAAGAAUUCAGGGCUUCAGAGACCACCUGGGCAGCUAUUUCUGGGACCAAGAAGAAGUAUGACCAGUGGCCAGAGAGGUAAGGUGGGUGCACAGAAAAGGCGUUUAAGACAGACUCAAAGUCAAAAAGGGCCUUUCACAGUGGCCACGCCUGUAAUCCCAGAGGCUUGGGAGGCUGAGGCAGGAGGAUCACAAGUUCAAAGUCAGCCUCAGCAACUUUAGCAAGACCCUGUUCAGAAAUAGAAUAUAAAAAGGGCUGGGGAUGUGGUUCAGUGGUUAAGUGCCCCUGGUUUCAAUCUCUGGUACCAAAAAAAAAAAAAAAAAUCAAUAAGUAUGGUGAGUCUAUGUUUCAAAUAUAUAAUAAUGACAAAUAAAACUCAAAAGAAAACGACCAACAGGGUCUAGCCAUGAUAAGUAAGUGAAAUCUCUGUGGCGCAGAAGCCAGCAGCAGUGGGAGAGGAGUUGCUGGGGCCUGCACUGUGCCCAGAGGGCACCAGGGAGACAUGUCCUCUCUGUAGGGUGGUUGGAAGUGAAGGGCCCCCUGCACAAGGCCCCACAGAGAGCGCCGUGGCUUGCAUCUGGAGCCCCAGAAGCUGCCGUGAUAGUGGGGCAGCCAUGCUUGGAGAAGGGGAGGCUGGACAUCCUCAGUGGAUCAGCCCAUCUGACGCAUUCCUAAUCUGAAUGGGUGGACAGCUGGUGGCACUAGGUGGAUGGGUGUGUCACAGGGAUGUGGUCUUGGGAACCCUGUCCCACCCAGGUCCUUCCCAUCUCUCUCUCUGCUGCCUGGCCUUCCUGAGCAAGCAGCCUGCCCCACCAUGUCCUCUGCCAUGUUCUGCAGGGGAGUCCACCAACCAUGGACUGAACCUCUGAAACCGUGAGCCAAAAUAAAUCUUUCCUCCUCUAAGUUGCUCUUGCCAAAUAUUUUGGUCACAGCAAUGAAAGGCUAACUGAGAGUGCUCUUAGCAACGGCAGUGAAGGGGCAUGCACCCCUGGGACCCUAGCUCCAUUCCAAGGACAUCGCUGGAGAAAUCUCACUCAUGAGCUGGACAGGAAUGUACAUCUCAGCUUUGAUCACACAAGUGCCAACUGCAGACAACCUAAAAGGUCAGCAGGGAAAGGGUGAAAUAAAUUGUGCUACACUCACACAAUGGAACAUUCUCUGUGGUGAACAGGGUGAUCUACAGCCCCGCGAAGCCACAUGCAGAGAUCUGGAUAAAGCCUGACAUGGUCAUGCCUGGCUUCUGUGGCAGGAAGCGGGUGUGGGGGACUGGAUAUUAGCAGGACCUCAGAAACAUGCCCAGACAGGUCAACCUGAAGGCGCUGUGCAUCAGGAAGGUGACUUAGCAGUUGCUAAGUCACAUACCCCAAGUCAGGU
rnacentral:lncRNA from 1 species